UCGCCGCAGCGAUCAUGGCAACUUCUUGCAAUUACGGUCGUACCAACCGUACUGGCAAGGAUACAGGGCCUAAAUUUAUACAGGUUUCGUCAUGAGGGCUACCCAGUGAAUAAUCUGUGCAGUGUGAUACGGCUGGGUGUACAGGUUACUUCACAGCUGCCUCGACAUACUCAAGAAAUGGGUGCAGAACCUGCGUAAUGCCCACAAACUUUGACUACCACAGCACCUCCAGGAAGUAAAGGCAUAUGUGUCACAUGGGAUUUUUAAAGGCAUUCACAGUAUAUAAUACCUUGUAUGAACUGUUGUAGGUCUAAGCAGCCUCUACAGUACACUCUCAGAAAUUAAAACUUGUCAGGGAACUGUGAUAAUUGUUUCAGUUAAUAGGUAUGCACAUACACGCUAUAAGAAGAAAAU